UACGAAGGGGGCUAGCGUUGCUCGGAAUUACUGGGCGUAAAGCGCACGUAGGCGGAUCUUUAAGUCAGGGGUGAAAUCCUGGAGCUCAACUCCAGAACUGCCUUUGAUACUGAGGACCUUGAGUUCGGGAGAGGUGAGUGGAACUGCGAGUGUAGAGGUGAAAUUCGUAGAUAUUCGCAAGAACACCAGUGGCGAAGGCGGCAUCCUGGACCGAGAUUGACGCUGAGGCGCGAAAGCCAGGGGAGCAAACGGG
rnacentral:rRNA from 1 species